AUGGACGUGCUGUCGUCUGCGAAGCGCGCCCUCCCGUGGGGCCGCACCUCGGCCGGCGGGGUCAUCGGCGGCCUCCGAGCUCUACUCGGGACGGACGGAGGCGGCGGCCGCUCUCUUCUCCCGUCCCGGUGGAAGUCGUCGCAGCCGCAGCUGGACCCCGUCGACAGGUCCGACGAGGAGGGCGGCGGCGACAUCGACUGGGACAACCUCGGCUUCGGGCUGACCCCGACCGACUACAUGUACGUCAUGCGGUGCACGCAGGAGGAGGGCGGCUUCUCCCGCGGCGAGCUCGCCCGCUACGGCAACAUCGAGCUCAGCCCCUCCUCCGGCGUCCUCAACUACGGGCAGGGGCUGUUCGAGGGGCUCAAGGCGUACCGGAGGGCGGACGGGCCCGGGUACACGCUGUUCCGGCCGGAGGAGAACGCGCGGCGGAUGCAGCACGGCGCCGGGCGCAUGUGCAUGCCUUCCCCGUCCGUCGAGCAGUUCGUGCACGCCGUCAAGCAGACCGUCCUCGCCAACAAGCGCUGGGUGCCACCGCAAGGAAAGGGAGCGCUGUACCUCAGGCCGCUGCUCAUCGGGAGCGGGGCGAUCCUCGGGCUGGCGCCGGCGCCCGAGUACACCUUCAUGAUCUACGCCGCGCCCGUGGGCACAUAUUUCAAGGAAGGCAUGGCGGCGAUAAACCUGCUGGUCGAGGAGGAGAUCCACCGCGCCAUGCCGGGCGGCACCGGCGGGGUCAAGACCAUCUCCAACUACGCGCCGGUGCUCAAGGCGCAGAUGGACGCGAGGAGCAAGGGGUUCGCGGACGUGCUGUACCUGGACUCGGUCCACAAGAGGUACGUGGAGGAGGCCUCCUCCUGCAACCUCUUCGUCGUGAAGGGCGGCGCCGUCGCGACGCCGGCGACGGCGGGGACCAUCCUGCCGGGGGUCACGCGCAGGAGCAUCAUCGAGCUCGCCCGAGACAGCGGCUACCAGGUGGAAGAGCGCCUCGUCUCCAUCGACGAUCUGAUCAGUGCAGACGAAGUGUUCUGCACGGGAACGGCCGUCGGCGUCACCCCGGUGUCCACCAUCACCUACCAAGGGACAAGGUACGAGUUCAGGACCGGAGAAGACACGCUGUCGAAGAAGCUGUACACGACUCUGACGUCGAUCCAGAUGGGCCUGGCGGAGGACAAGAAAGGAUGGACGGUUGCGGUUGAUUGA
rnacentral:rRNA from 1 species